ensembl:snRNA U6 U6 spliceosomal RNA
GUCACUUUGGUAGCACAUAAACCAAAAUUGGAACAAUACAGAGUAAAUCAGUAUGGCCCCCGUCAAAGGAUACCACAUGAAUUCUUGAAGCAUUCCACACUUCA